rnacentral:rRNA from 1 species
GACGUAGGGGGCCAGCGUUGCUCGGAAUUACUGGGCGUAAAGGGUUCGUAGGCGGUGUGGCAAGUCGGAAGUGAAAUCUCCAGGCUUAACUUGGAGGCUGCUCCCGAAACUGCCAUGCUAGAGUGCGGGAGAGGCGAGUGGAAUUGCAGGUGUAGCGGUGAAAUGCGCAGAUAUCAGGAAGAAUAUCCGUGGCGAAGGCGGCUCUCUGGUACGGCACUGACGCUGAGACGCGAAAGCGUGUGAGCGAACAGG